GCUGCCUUGCCUGCCUACCAGCAAGCAAGGGCGGCGGCGGCCUGCUGCCUGCCUGCUUGGUACGGGAGGUCGGGAAGUCGAUGGCGGCCACGUAGGCCUUGUCACCUAAAAACCAAAAUCUUUUCAAGAUUUUUCGUUAUAUUAAAUCUUACAGCAUAUGUAUAGAACAUUAAAUAUAAAUAAAAACAAAAACUAAUUGCACAAUUUACCUGUAAAUCGCGAGACAAAUUUUUUAAGCCUAGUUACUUUAUGAUUGGACAAUGUUUAUCAAAUAAAAACAAAAGUGCUACAAUAUCAAAAUUCAAAAAAAAAACUAAACAAGGGCGUAACCGUGCACAAAUCACAAAAGGGCAAAAACAUCCAUCCAGGUGUUAAAUACAUGGAAGAAUCUAUAUACCUAAUAAUAAAAAAGUAAACUUUCCAUCAUAUUUUUUUCUGCCUCUUCUUUGCUUAUAGAGUUCGUGUAGGACAAUCAUUCGGAGAUAGGGCACCUCUGUUGGUGGUUUGGGAAAAAGAUCAGAAAAAGAAAUAUAAGAGAAGGAAGGGAUCCUGGUGGAGAAGUGUAAAAGAGAAAGAAAUGAUGAGAGGAUGUAAAAGUGCAGCCGAUGUUACACCUAUUAUUGAGCUAGGCUGGAAUCCGGCCGGGAGAGUUGCAUACUUGCAUGUUGACAUACGGGAAACAACAACCUCAACUGAGCAAAUGUUUCUUUUCUAGCAUCUCUAACAGUUAGGCAUUUACGUUUAGCAUUCUUAUUUUUUUAUC
rnacentral:lncRNA from 1 species